rnacentral:lncRNA from 1 species
GCCCACCGAAGCAGCAGGAGAAAGACCUUGAGGUGGUUCAGAUUUGCCUCUACAUCCUUUCUCUCUUUCCCUAGGUUUUGAUCUCCUGUACAUAUUUUGGCCACCUGAGUUCUAUCUGCUCUCUGUCAAUUUCAGUGAAGCUGCAUCAUCCAACAUAGCGAGAUGAAGUACUCAGAAAAAAUUGCAGCAAGUGCGAUUGAUAGUCAGGGAAUUGAUUUGAUUCUGAAUCUUCCGUUCUUCAGGUACUUAUUUCACACUCUCUCUGAUUGGUCAAUGUGCUAUGCAAAGUUGUUAUAUAUAAAUUUGCUUUUAUACAUGUCUGCAUCAUAAUUAAUGUUAUUCCCUUCUGAAUUAGCAAGAUUUAGACGAUAUAAACAGUAAUAGUAGUUGUCUUUUCAUUUGUUAGAAAACAUAGUGUACAGAAUCGUAGCUGUAUGCAAUGAUUCAUCAUGUAUUUUUUUUAAAUCGCAACCCGUAAUUGUUUGAUGUCGUUAAAUGUCUAUAUUGUUUUGUUUACAUUCUUAAGCUGGCCUCCAUACUAUCUGCAUUGUCCUGGUAGCCUUGGUAGGUUAUAAUACGCAGAUCGAUAAUCCCGGUUCAGUUUGAGCUUUCCAUGUAAUUUUUUACUCAAAUAUUACGAUCACGACUUAACUUAAAUUAGCAGUAUAGUGUCAAUGGGCAUCAACUGAAGCUAAUAAGAUGUUGUUUACUAAAGAACAGCCCCUUGCUACUUGCACAGUAUGUGGCAAAACACCCUAAAUAUUAAAGAAAUCAUACUUGACUGUGAUUACAUUUGGUUGACGCUUACAUGUAUUUCCCAUCAGUAGACCAAGUGGGUAAUCUUCUAUCUCAAGUCCAAGCUUUCAAUGCAUUUUUCUCUUUUUUUCAUGUCUCAGUGAUGAUCUGCAGGGCCGAAUUAUGCCACUGUUGAUGGUGCACAGGUCUGUUGCAUGGUAAACCCAGUAUUGGCCGUCCUUUCAAGCUCCUUUGUUCAUCCUAGAGAAAAAACUGGAAAAACUAUCUUUUAAUCUUUCUAUAGUGCAUUGCUAUGAUUACAUAUAUGGAUACAUCAUUUCGAUGUGUCUAGAGACCUAAAGCCUUUUAAGAGUUAACUGCCAAACUGGGGAGUGAUGUCAUAAUUGGAGAUGGGCUUCGUUCAGUUAUUCUUUUUGGGCCUAGAACGAUGAUGUUUGCAGAUGGGCUUUAUUCUGUCAUAAGAGCUUAUCGAUCCAGCAUGCAUAGUUUUGUUUCUUCAGUGUUCUGUGUCUGAGAAAAACAUAUGUUGUUUCCUAUUUGUUUAUGGUCGAGAUGGACGGAUUUUUGUUGUGUGGGCUGGAGGUGGAUUUCUGUUGUGUGGGCUGAAGGUUCUUGAGGUAGGGCACCAGCACCAGCUAAGCUUUCAUUCUGGUGAAAUGUAUGACAUGAUUGAUGAGCAUGCAUAUCUAUAUGGUUUUGUGGACACUGAUUUGGUUCCAUGCCAGUUUAUUUCCUGCAGUUGGUGUGUUUCUUUAUAGAGAUUUUUGUCACUAAAUUAAAUUAGAAACUGAGUGUGUACUGCUUUCACCUUCAGUUUAAACAUGACAUUAUCUUAUUUGUGAAUAGAUGGAAAUUAGCAAGCAAGCUACAGUUAGUGCAUGGAUGACCAAGUUUACUUAUUACUUUAUGAAGAUGAUUCUUAAAUGGAAUUAGGAGCUAGGUCCUGCAUGUUGAUUGUGCUUCAAGGUACAGUUGUCUGUACCUUAUAAAAUUAAAGCUUUUUAUUGGUUGUGCAUCCCAGGACAAAAAUCUUGAUUCAUAGAUAGCCAAAGAAUUGAUUACUCUCUGUCGUUGUAGGGAAGAGGAUGGGAGGAGGGGAUGCGUUGCUCCACAUUUUGUUAUGCACACCUUCAUAAACUAUACUCCCUCUGUAAACUAAUACUCCCUCCGUUUCUUUUUACUCCGCGUAUAAGUUUUGGUCAAAGUCAAACUACAUAAAGUUUGACCAAAUUUAUAUUAAAAAAUAUGAACAUCUACAAUACUUAAACUGUAUAAUAUGAAAAUACAUUUCAUGGUCUGUCUGAAACUGUUGGUUUCAUAUUGUGAAUGUUGAUAUUUUUUAAUAUAAAGUUAGUCAAACUAUGCAAAGAUUGACUUUGACCAAAUCUUAUAUGCAGACUAAAAAGAAACGGAGGGAGUAUAAGAGCAUUUAGAUCACUAAAGUAGUGAUCUAAACGCUCUUAUAUUAGUUUACAGAGGGAGUACUUCUCUUAACAUAUGUUCAUUAUCCAGCAGAAGCUGUAGAUUUCAGAGUACAAUAAUUUCCUGUUUAUACAUGGGAGCAGAGCGGAGGAGGUCGAUGCAGGGUCGAGGAGGGGCACGAGCGAGGGUCAUGCCGCACGGGGGCGCGAUGGGGUGGCCGGGGAGCGUGCAGCGUCUAGCAAGAGAAGGCAGAAACCUGAGAAAAUAAGAUUAGGGAAGUCACACAUGUUUAAAUCAAGGUAGCAUACAUGUAGCCUUACUUGCUAUUUUUGCAUCAUGGAUGCUGAAGUUCCUAGAGGUAAAGCAGAAACCUGAUGUAUAGCAGUGCAAAUGUGCUGUCUGAUAGGCUUUAAAAAUUUCUUAAAGACGAAUGGUUGGACUGAUUUUUUCAAAACAUAAUAAGCACUUGUUUUCUACAGUUGGUAGCAUAUAUAUAGCUUAAGGAGAUUUCAUGUAAUAUACAUCUAAGUUGAAACUUCGGGAUCAUCUUAUAGCCGUUCACUUCUCUCUUUUUUAUUUUGUCUCAUUCCUUCAUUUAAGCAUAAGUUCAGUUUCAUUUGCUCAAGUUAGCUGCCAGUUGAACUUAUAGUUUCUUGCCUUAUAGUGUUUAUUGCAUAAUCCUUUUUUUUCUUCUCUUUUGAAAGCAAGGACCAGGCCACGAACAUAUGUUUAUAAUGCAGUUCUUUCACUGCGUACUGCAUAGUAUCUUAGCUAGGUCUCUCUGGGCAAGUGUAGUUUGCCUGCAGGUAUGACAUGUGUUUGAAUAUAAUCCUUUUCUUGCUUCUCUUUUCAAAGCAAGGACCAGGCUGGCAGGCUGGGAACAUAUUAUAAUGAAAUUCUUUCAUUGUAGACUGCAUAGUAUCUUAGCUAGGUCUCUCCAGCAUGCUACCAAAAAAGGAAUGCUAUUGCUUAUGUUCUCUGAUCAACUGUACCUUGAAUCCUCAAUUUUGUAAUUCUCUAAAGAAUCAUCCAGCACAAACUCUGUUCUUUGAAGAAUUGUACCUGGAUAUUCUGAAGCUUGUGCACUGAUAUUUGUUGUUCAUUUUGCGCUGGAGCUGUGCAACUCUCCUUUAGUUUUUUGAGGUGUCAACAAACUGAAAAUAGUUGCUUCUCACUUCGGAUCGUGUCAUGACUCGUGAGCUCAGAGACAUUAAGCACUGUUAGUUAGAUGUUCCAGUUUAUGUGUAGAGGAAGCUACACGGUGGCUCACGA